ensembl:lncRNA
AGAGAGAGAGAGAGGGGGCAGCAGAGAGAGGGAGAGGGGGCAGCAGAGAGAGAGAGAGAGAGGGCAGCAUAAAGAGAGAGGGGGCAGCAGAGACAGAGAGAGGGCAGCAGAGAGAGAGAGAGAGGGCAGCAGAGAGAGAGAGGGGGGCAGCAGAGAGAGAGAGAGAGGUCAGCAGAGAGAGAGAGAGAGGGAGGGCAGCAGAGAGUGAGAGAGGGAGGGCAGCAGAGAGACAGAGAGGGAGGGCAGCAGAGAGAGAGAGGAGGGCAGCAGAGAGAGAAUGGGGCAGCAGAGAGAGAGGGGGCAGUAGAGGGAGA